ensembl:lncRNA
CNACUCCAGCCGUAUGAGCAACCAGACCCUGAUAUCCAACCCAAAUCCCUUCCCCAGCAGAGACUGUCCUCCAGGAAAGCUGUCACAAAAAGUCUAGAAACCACUUGUGACCAACCACAACAUCACAAGCCAAUCAGAACACAGGUCAGCAUCCCAGAGACCACGGCAGAUCACCACAGAGCGCAGACAUCCUCUUCUCCAUCUCCACAGACUUCUGAUAGCAUAGAGGAGCGGUGGCUGGCCCCUCACCAUAAGAAAGACACAAGAGUCAAAGAGAAGACUGAACAUGAGAGACAUGAGAAGAAGAUUGCACCUUCAAGCCGAAAGAAAAAAUCUGAAAGACACGGUGGUGAGCGAGGCAGCAGUGCAGUGAGGGUCAGGCAUGCUAGGGGUCAUGAAGGGGUCAGUCGCAAACCGGAGGAGCCGAGUGGAAAAAGCAGGUGGCAGGAAGAGGGUCAAAGUUCGGCACGAGGAGGACUGUCUGGAAAUCAAGCUCCACCACCUUCCCCUAUACAUAAUGCUCUGGGACAGGUCGUCUCUGAGGUGCUUUUUGCUGGGACAGAUUCUCCAAGCCAGUGCAAGACUCCAAGUUCUUCAGAUUCCCCAGUAUAUACACCACCCCCACAGUCUCCUGUUGCUUCUUGUUCCGGCGUACAGCAACCCUUGGAGGUCAUAGGUCAGCUCAUGCAGGAUGCAGAAGACUCAGAUGGGCAAGAGUUUGAAGACGAUCCUUUGUUGCAAGUCCUCAGACAGCAGAGGAAAUGGGUGAUGGAACAACUUUGUGAGGUUGAUGAGAUGCUCCAGCAACUCUGACGCACCUGUUUAAUAUAUCAAUGAUGCAAUAUAAUGCAAUAUGUUUCACAUUAUAAUGUUUAUUUUUGCUACUAUUUAUUGUGGAUUCAAACAUGUAUGAAUGUAUUUCUAAAUAAAGACCUUUGCAAAUAAACA